GACAUUUUCUUUUUUUAAUUAAAGUUGAGAUCCAUGUAUGGAAGUAAAAGAUAAAUUGACCAGUCUAAUACAAGAAAAUAUUUUAAGUGCAAUUCCAUUACACAACUUAGCUGGAGAAAGCUCAUAUGCUACACAGCUGUAACCUUUUCCUUUCCUUCCUUACUGAGCCUGGGAGCAUUGCCCUCUUGCCUUCUUUCUGUUGGAGCUGGCUUUUCCUGUCAUACUGCAUACUCUGAGAGAGCUUGGCAUUUUUCCCUGCCCUCUGCAGCUCUGGAAUACUUUAUUGCUGUUUCUUAAUGCCUGUUAUGACUGCAAGUAAGGCAUAAGUGGUGCCUUUCUUUCGCUGCUGCUUUUAAGUCACAUGAUGAUAUUUGGGAAAUCCGUGGACCUGCAGCACUGCAAAAUCAUACCCACAAUGAAAAACGAGUCCAAAAAUGCAAAGAAGGUUAAUGAGUCCUUAAAGGGUCAGGUUUGGGUUUAGGGCAAGGAGAGUUACUGAUGGCCAGCAGUGUGAUUCUGCAGCAUUGUCAUUGCCCAUAUGGCCAGAGAAUUAAAAAAGUAAAUACAAAGACUGCAUCUGUGUGUGGAUAGCAGCUGGGAGCUCACCAGGAAAGUGCAAAUGUAACCAUGGUGUUCACAAGAGGGGCAUGGCUCCGGGGUAAGCUUCAUCCCCAGUUUCCAGCUCCAUUUAACAGCAGCUCAAACACACCAUGACUGAGGCCUCUGUGAUGCUCAGCAUUAUUUGGAAGCCCAGCAAAGCAGCACAUGUUUAAUCCAAAGGAUGUUGCUACGUACCAUCCAUCCAAACUUCUGGAUAUCUACUGCAAAUCAAGUGCCAGGGAUUAAACUCCUGGUGUUCUGCAUCCAAAUGAGAUUUCUACUGGGCCAGAAAUACUUGCUUUUAGAAUUGAUUGUGUGAAACAUCGUGCUACAAUUUGAAUGAUCCUUUGAUGACUGGACUUUCUGGGAUAGAAGUUCCAAUAUGCUGUUGCAGUCAGGGAGGAACUGAGAAGCAGAGAACACAAAGGAAAACCCGGGGUUUACGCUUAAGACAAGGUUUCUUCAUGUUUUGCAGUAUGUCCCAGGUGCGGGGUAAGUCAGUGGAAGAUAUCACGGGAGGAGCAGGAACGCAGGGCUGGCGGAUGGAAAGCCGGGCUGUUCUCUGCAGCCAGCCCGAGCCCGAGGGCGUUCAGCGGCCUCUAAUGCCCUCUGAUGGACAAAAGCAUCGCAGCCGCGGCUCUGCCAGGGAGGCUCCUGGUUAAACCUGCCUUUGAGGGGCUUGGAGCUGAGAAGGUGAAGUCACCUCUUACUAAAGCUUGGCAGAUCCUUUUCUUCCUCCUUUACUGAGGUUUGUUUGUUUGGCUUAAGAACAGGAGGGAAAUAUUUUUGACCCUGAUGGCAGACUUGGCACAGUUCCCCCACAGUAACACCACGUCCAUCAGGAAUUGGGAUCAGACCUGUGCCUUACAGAGCAAUGCUUCCAGAAAGGAUGGGAGGUUUCUGGACCAAAGCUGACAAAUAGAAAUUGAAAAGUAUCACUCAGCAUGUUUGAGCCACUGCUGGAGUGUUUGACAAAUGCUGGUGAAAAUGAGAAACUGGGAUAGGAGGAAUGGAGAGAAAAAAAAUCAAAGGAUGAAGCAGAGGCUUCAGGGAGUCAGAAGAUAAAAAAGGUUAAUAAAUAAAUAAUUUGAAUUGAAAACACAAGAUAGAGGAAAGCAGAAAAAUAUGUGAGAGGGCUAAAAAAAAAAGAAAAUAAGAAAAAUUCCAUAUUCUCUGGCAAAAAGUCAAGAGAAGUGUCACCUCCAAGAGGCAGUUCAGGUGUAAUGCCAGAAAGGCCCAGAUCUCCUGGGUACAGUGUAGGUGAUGUUCAGAAAUUAAAUAAAUCUGAAAGUGUAAAAUGCACCAGAAAGGAAGGAAAUGCUGCCUUUGAAGGGGAUUUUAUUGGAGGUGGGGUUGUUAACUGUUGGUAUCUGUGACACAGGAUCAGCACCUUCUCUCCCAAGCAAGGACAAAGUGUGAGCUGAGAAUUCCCUGAGGUUUUCCUGCAGACCUGGCCAGGUCAUUUCCUGUGUAUGCCUCGAUCUUCUCCUCGGCGUCCUCAUCCUCCAACUCAGGCAAAAAGCAGAAGUGCCAGAAUAUCUCCAAGGAAAUGAUUCAUGGGACAUUUUUGGCUGGAUUGAAAACAUCUGCAGCUGGAAACUUCACGAGGGGGACUCUUCCCACAUAGAUAAAUUUCCAACUCACACUUUAUGGGUUGGCUGUUCAGGCUGUAAACCUCUGCGCAGAGGGAAUAGAGACACGGCAGGGACUUCCCUGUGCCGUGUGAUUCCUACCACUUGUGCCACUUUGACAGCCACAAUGGGAAAUUUUUAGUGAGGAAAUGUCAUUGGCAUUCACACCAAAACCUGACAACACUCUGUGGAUGCCUUAGGCUGCAAUUCCUUAUUUUAGUUUACACAGAAGCUUAAGGAAGUGCAUAAAAAGCUCUUGCUAAAGUGUCCUUAAAAAUCCAGAAGCAGGAGGUUUUGAAGAGCUGCUGAAGAAAUGGUGGCACAACUCAGAGUUAUCAGGAGCUAGGGAACUUGGAAUGGUUUAUUCUGCAGCAAUACCCAGCUGUUACAGACAGUCCUGUCUCUGCUUGGGGAGGGCAGAAUCAGCUGGGGCUUCAUGGACCCACAGGCAGGGUCUGGCACAAAAAUGAAUAGUAGGGAUAUUAUGGGGGUUCUGGGGACAGCAGGGGCAGAAUGGGUCUCCAGUCUAAGUACUGGCUGAACUUUUUCAAGGAGUUGGAGGGAAAAUGAGAAUUUCCGACAUCAUCAUUCAACCCCUGUGUUUAAAAUCUGGGAAUACUACAGCAAAUCAUGUUUGCUUUUAGGGAACAGAUUUGCUUUGGGAAAAACACUGCCAGAAGCAGGAAGAAGCAGUUUGUUUUGUUUAGUACAUUUUGAAGGGAAGAAAUAGCCUAUCCUUUUCUAUCUCAGUCAGGAGUUCCCAGGAUGCUUCUCUCUGAUCUAAUCAUAUCACCCUGAUUUCUUUCUGGCAUUUAGGGACAUGUUUUUCAGAACCAUAUCAGUCAGCUGAAGCCCUUUCCUGCCCCUACAUGAAUUAUUAUUGUUUAGAUUUUGGCAGAACAUAGAGAUCCCUGUGAAGAUUGUGGCUGGUUUGCCUUCAGUGGAGAUUAUUCCUGCCUGACUGCAGUGGGACACUGAGGGGUCAAAUACAUAAACAUUUGGAAAAGGAGCCAUGACAAGAAGGACCCAAUGGGGUCAGUUCUGCCUCCAGCAGGGAGACCAAGCCCUCAGGUUUAAUUGGGAAUUAAUAAACCAUCCUGGGUAAGGAUGAUUUCUGUCAUGGUAAAGAACACAAAACACCAAAGGUUCUGCUCCACUGAUGUUUUGUGUUCAUCUCUGCGGUUUGGUGUUGGUGUUUUGUGUUCUCUGCCUUUGCACUCCCUGUGACAAAGCCUUAUUCAUCAAUCAAUUAACUGGUUUUCUUUCUUAAAUAAAAUAUCUGCAAUUGAUUUUCAUCUUUUCAUAAAACAUCUGCUCUUCAAAAAUUUGCUGUCACCCAAGUUCCUGGAUUUGAUGCCAGAAUGCAAUGGAACUGUUUGUUGUGUAAAUCCAAAUUACAGGAUUUUUAUUGCUCAUUAUUUACAAGGCAAGUUGACUCAGGAUAAAUUUGAUAUUGCUGUUGCUGGUAAUAAUUCCUAUGUGCUGUGAUAACUGCAAGAGUCUCUGAGUCACAUGGAGGCCCUGACUGAGUGGGGGGACAGAAAUUCCAUUUGAUUCUCCAGUUCUGCCAAUUUUAAACCCACUGUUCCAGAGCCCUCACCUCAAGCUGCGUCUUUAUUUAUAUCAUCAGAAUUUCAAUGCGGCUCUGGUAUGAAAGAACAUUAUUUUGUGCUUCUGUCUACCCAGAAGGAAAACAAAUUAACAUUCCAAAGAAGGAAAGUGGAAGUGGAUGUUUAUUUGUGUGUAUCCUACUUUUCUGAGUCACCGAGUAAACAGUUGGCUAGGGCUGGUGUGACCAGGCUGGGGAUGAAGGUGCCACACUCGGACCUGUAUUUACUGUCACCGUUCUGCAGUGAAAACUGGGAACGCAACAAAAUAAGCUAAUUUAUAGAAACAACCGGGUUUAUAUUUAAAAGGUACAAUACAGCUGUGAAUUCCAGCCUGAGACAGCAAACCUGUGG